ensembl:snoRNA
AGCAGAUGAUGGCUUUCUCUCACAAUGGUCUGCGAUGCCACUGUGGCCAGUACCAAUAAUGCCAAUGGCUCAGCUGAUGCCAGGAG